rnacentral:lncRNA from 9 species
AACGGCCAAGGCAGCAGUCUUCCUGAAGGACAUGGUGCAAACUCAGAAGACAAGGACGUGUUAUCAUGAACAGGGAAACCAAUCGAGGAAAAAUUCACUGCACGUUUUCCAGGAGUUACAGGAAAGCUGGGUUCUUGGCUGGGGUUCGUACUGAGCUGAUCACCGGGAGCAGCACGUGCAUGACUAACAACCUCGUAAUAAGCCCUUCCUUACAGGCUGUAAUGGGAGCCACACUGACAGAUGUGACGGGUGUUCUCAGCAAUCCCCAGGAAGUGACAACUGCAGAGCUUGCUGACAAAAACAGAGACAAAGGAGAGCCACUGGCAUCUGCGAUGGGUCUGAAUUGUUCAGAGGCAAAUGAAGCCGACCACAAGGCAAGGAGAGAAGAUUCUGAAGUACAUCUCCUCUCAUGAGAUCCCAAAGGAAGCCACUGGUGGCUUGCCACAUUUCUGCCAGAGCUUGGAAAAGAAGACAGGAAAGAACAGCUCAACACCUUAAAAUGUGCCUCCCUCUAAUUAAAAAUUGAUAUCCAUGGGGAAGAAUUGAAAAAAUCUAGACUAGGGAGAGCUGGACACAUUUUUUAAAAUUAUUCACCAAGUUGUUUUUUCUUUGUGACAGUAUCUUAUACUCAUAGAUUUGUUUGAAAACACUUUCACUCUCUUUGUUCUAAAUAGUCCUCACACUAAGCCAUUAAGAUAUUAUUGUUAUUGUUUGCAUGCAAGAGCUGAAGAAACUGAAGCUCAGAGUGACAGGCAGUCACCAGCAGGACUGUGACACCUGACUCCCAGAUCACCCUCUCCAUGUAUUCACCCGGACAGCAAACACCCAAGCACAGGACCAUGGCUUCUAUUUCCCUUAAUACCUAACCUACUGCUCCAGGCAGAGACUCAUAAGGCUUCCUGAUUAAACUGCCUUAUUUGUUUGUAUGUAUAUUCAUUCCACGCCUAUGGAGCGAGCACCAAAUAAAUGCUAUUGUGGAUAAUGAAUAAUUUAUAUGCAAACUAAAUGCUG